AUUCAUUUAGUAUAAAAAAGUAUCUUAAGCUUCCAACUUAAAGGUUUUAAAAAAAAAUGAAUA
rnacentral:tRNA from 1 species